GUAUAGGAGCAUGAUGUUACUUUACCUCUGAACUCUUAAUGACACAGUAUGAGAAGUUUUCUGAAACCAUGCAGACCUAUAAUUGCCUAGUUGGUUUAAACUCAUACAACGAUGUUUAUAUCCAGGGGCGGAUCUAGAAAUGUUUUCUUGCCUGGGCAGACUAAAACAACAUUAUCAUUCAUGAAAACAAAAUUUUUACAAGCUACAUUCGUAAAUAAGGGAUUUUCAGAAGAAAAAAAAUAAGUCAAUUGGGCAAAAGCCCAAGACACUGGUGACUGGCCCAUCAGCCCAUGUUCUUCUUUCUUCCCCACGCAGGCGGCGCAGCAGCGUACGUUGCUGACUUGCUGCAAGCCUGAACUCCCUGAAACCUCUUCGUUUUCUUCCUGCGGUGAUCUUGGUUGGGCAAGAUCAUCAAUAAGUUGUAAUUUUGCAAUAAAUUUGUGAGAAGAGUUCAUCUCAAUUUGUGAGAAAUACAAAAGAUGGGUGGGCAUUUGCCCAGGCUUGCCAACAUAUAGCUCCGCCCCAGUUUAUUUCCAAGAACCAUUUAUAAGCGGAGGAUUAGAACUUCUUUGUAACUCUGUCAAGAUUCAUAAUGUCAAUGUAGAACUGCAAAAGUCAGCAGAAAAGUUAACCAUGAAAGAUUUACUUGCUUGGAUUCGUACUAAUUUGAUCAAGGAGAGACCUGAAAUGUUUAUGAAAGGAGAUUCUGUGAGACCUGGUGUUCUGGCCCUUGUGAAUGAUUGUGAUUGGGAGCUGACUGGUCAACUUGAUACGACGUUAGAGGAGAAGGACGUGGUUGUGUUCAUAUCAACCUUGCACGGGGGAUAGUAUAUAUAUCACUGUAGUAUCUCUAGCUAAUGAAGGCAUACGUUACUAGCCAGCCAACCAUC